UCCUUCUAUUAACGCCAGCCUACUCUUGCUCAUUAAAUCCCAGAUCUCCUUUGCUCUGCUCUUGGUGUUCCCUUUCGUUUUCUUGUUCUUCUGCAUUUUCAUCCCCAUUCUUGCGCCUCCAAACUGCUCGAGGAAACGCCUGUAUGAUUAUGUUCACUUUCAGCGGUUCCUUUUUCCACAAGCUUCUGACUUAUGUUGAUUCUCCAUCUGCAAUCUCAACAGUUUCCCUACCUUUCGCAAAAGGAUAUGCUUAUAGCGUGUGUUGGGAAGAGGACGUCAAGGCUUGCGAUCGGAGAAUCAUUCAUGUAUGACCAUCUUCAGGUUUUAGCACUCCGAUGGAAGAAAUAUUGAUGUUACAAUUUAUUACUUUCUUUUGGUGAUAUUGUCUUAAUUGAUAGUGUUCACUUUCUUGAUGUUGUGUCUCAGUAGAUAUUAGGGCAUAACAUAAACUGAUAUCUUCCCUCUCAAUUGUCUAAAUCAUAUAUUGAGCAAAACGUCAUCGCUCGCUGCAACUUAACCCCGUUCUUCAAAACAACGCCUACAAUGCGGACCUUCAGUGCAGUUCAACCCUUGCCAGUGGAUCUUCUCCUUCCGCUCCAACAGCCUGACCCCAGAAUUGUCGCUCUGCCCCAACCAUUCGUGCCUCUCGUCCGACAUUGCCGGGAUAGAGCCCAGUUCACGUACUGCUUUGUUCAUACUGGAGUUUGCCUGAAGUUUAUUGCUUAUGAACGCACGUUUUCGAGUUCAGAGAUCUAUAUUCAAGUGAUUAUGUCUUUCUUUUAUUUUAUGUCCUCAUUUUGCUUUUCUUUCCUAUGAAUAAUGACUAUUUUUGCCACCGUAUACAUUUUAUCGGUUGAUGCCCGUCAUUACCAUCGAUUUGAGUUUGCUAUGCGAUUUUAUCAUUUGUGUA